rnacentral:rRNA from 1 species
AUACGUAGGGGACAAGCGUUGUCCGGAAUGACUGGGCGUAAAGGGCGCGUAGGCGGUUUUUUAAGUCCGAUGUGAAAGGUACCGGCUCAACCGGUGACGUGCAUUGGAAACUGAAAGACUUGAGUAUUGGAGAGGCAAGUGGAAUUCCUAGUGUAGCGGUGAAAUGCGUAGAUAUUAGGAGGAACACCAGUGGCGAAGGCGGCUUGCUGGACAAAUACUGACGCUGAGGUGCGAAAGCGUGGGGAGCGAACAGGAUUAGAUACCCUGGUAGUCCACGCCGUAAACGAUGAAUGCUAGGUGUUGGGGCAACCCAGUGCCGGAGUUAACACAAUAAGCAUUCCGCCUGGGGAGUACGACCGCAAGGUUGAA